GACGAACGCUGGCGGCGUGCCUAAUACAUGCAAGUAGAACGCUGAAGGAGGAGCUUGCUUCUCUGGAUGAGUUGCGAACGGGUGAGUAACGCGUAGGUAACCUGCCUGGUAGCGGGGGAUAACUAUUGGAAACGAUAGCUAAUACCGCAUAAGAGUAGAUGUUGCAUGACAUUUGCUUAAAAGGUGCAAAUGCAUCACUACCAGAUGGACCUGCGUUGUAUUAGCUAGCUGGUGGGGUAACGGCUCACCAAGGCGACGAUACAUAGCCGACCUGAGAGGGUGAUCGGCCACACUGGGACUGAGACACGGCCCAGACUCCCACGGGAGGCAGCAGUAGGGAAUCUUCGGCAAUGGACGGAAGUCUGACCGAGCAACGCCGCGUGAGUGAAGAAGGUUUUCGGAUCGUAAAGCUCUGUUGUAAGAGAAGAACGAGUGUGAGAGUGGAAAGUUCACACUGUGACGGUAUCUUACCAGAAAGGGACGGCUAACUACGUGCCAGCAGCCGCGGUAAUACGUAGGUCCCGAGCGUUGUCCGGAUUUAUUGGGCGUAAAGCGAGCGCAGGCGGUUAGAUAAGUCUGAAGUUAAAGGCUGUGGCUUAACCAUAGUAGGCUUUGGAAACUGUUUAACUUGAGUGCAAGAGGGGAGAGUGGAAUUCCAUGUGUAGCGGUGAAAUGCGUAGAUAUAUGGAGGAACACCGGUGGCGAAAGCGGCUCUCUGGCUUGUAACUGACGCUGAGGCUCGAAAGCGUGGGGAGCAAACAGG
rnacentral:rRNA from 1 species